CCAGUGCUAAGCGUCGUUUAUGAUAAUCAGUUUGAUGAAUUCAGAUUUGUGUGUGAAAUCCCAGGGUCAGAGUCAGUAACUGCUGAUUUUAGCUGUAAUCUCUACACUGGAGAAAAAACUCUGCUUUUCCAAAACCAAAGAUCUCAAAAGAGAAGAUCUGGGAAGGUUUGUAUUUUUACAGCACAGAGAAAUGAUGUGUUUAAUCGUCUGCAGUCAGUAAAGAGUCGUGAAGUGAGCUGUGAUUAUUCAGUGACCUCUGACCCGACUGCUCGCUCUCCGAUGAGUGAGAAAUACAACAUGAUGCGUUUCUUUCCUUCACCAACACAGUCGUCCAUCACUCCUGAGAAAUCUCCUGCACAUGUUCCUCAGCUGCUCGUGUCUCCUGAAGUUCUCACAGAGAGAGGAUCAGUGGAGCUUCACUGUUCUGUUCCACACAAUGUUAAAGUGUCUCGGUGUUCUUUCUACCCAGAGGGAGACGACACAAAUAUUAAACCCUCUCCAUCUCCAUCAUGUCGGCUCUCAGUCACUGGUUCUGAUCUGAUCAGGUGGACAGGACGCAGCUCUCCUGGAACACUUCGGAUUAUUUGUUUCUAUGUGUUGGAUAACUCUGUUCGUUCUCCUUCUCCUCACUCUCGCCCAGCUCCAGUCACAGUGCUGAGGAAGAUCAACAUUACACCCAAUCAGAAACCAACGCUAAGCGUCAGUCAUGAUAAUCAGUCUGAUGAAUUCAGAUUUUCAUGUGAAAUCCCAGGGUCAGAGUCAGUAACUGCUGAUUUGAGCUGUAAUCUCUACACUGGAGAAAAAACUCAGGUUUUCUUAAAGACGUCCUUUCAGAAGAGAGACUCUGGGAAGGCGGUUUGUGUUUUUAUAGCAGAUAGAAAUGAUGUGUUUAAUCGUCUGCAGUCAGUAAAGAGUCGUGAAGUGAGCUGUGAUUAUUCAGUGACCUCUGACCCGACUGCUCGCUCUCCGAUGAGUGAGAAAUACAACAUGAUGCAUUUCUUUCCUGAAACACCACAGCGGCCCACAACUAAACCCUCCCCGACUGUUCUUUCAACUCGUCUGAUCACCACAAGACCCACAGCUAUGAGUGAGUGUAUUGUGGAGUCGUAGUUCUCACUGUGGGAAUGACAACCCCAAUUCCAAAAAAGUUGGGACGCUGUGUAAACUGUAAACAAAAACAGAAUGUGAUGAUUUGCAAAUCAUGGAAACCCUAUAGAUCACUGAAACCAGCGGCCCACAACUAAAACCUCCCCGACUGGUUUUUCUUCUCCCUCAACAACGUCGUCCACAACUAAAGAGAAAACGAGAGCAGAGUCUCCUGGACCAUC